rnacentral:lncRNA from 1 species
UGUUUUGCUUGUAUUUCAUUCUAUUUACAGUAACUCUUUUUUAGGGUGAUCCUGGGGUUGGUCGGCCUGGUUUGCCUGGUCCACUAGGGCUUCCCGGACCACCAGGGCCAUCCAGACCAAUUAAAGUUCCAUAUGGAUUUGAUGCUCUCUGCUCUGGAUUUGGAGAUGUUGAUAUUGAUACAGAACUUCUUAGAGGUCCACCUGGUCCUCCAGGGCCUCCAGGGAAAACUGGCCCGCCUGGUCCUAAUGGUCCCUUAAGGGGUUUACUGCCUGGACCAUCAGGUGCCCCUGGCAAGGAUGGCAGAAAUGGGCAACCUGGACUUAUACAAACAAACAUCAAAGGGUGA